UGGAAGCCAAAUGGCCUUUGCCAGCCUUAAUUAGCCCAAUAUUCCUUGUGGAGUUAAUGGAUUUUGGGUUAGCAUUCUCUAUAAAGAAGAUGGUCGAAUGCCUCUUGGGGUCCAAAACACCGGCACUUAGUUCCACCACUGACUCAACUGAUCCUUCAAAUGUGGUAUUGAAGUGCGAAAUGGUAACUGAUGGUGGAUCAGCAGGAAAAGUUAAGUCGAUAGCCUUUUGAACCAUUAGAGAAGAUGAAAUAGGUAAAUUGAGAAUGUCUAAAGGAGCCGCUGACUCAUUUACACCCAAGUUAGGUUCUAAAAGAUGAUCCAGAAGUACAGGGACUAUCAACGUCUCCACUGUCAUCUCUCCUGCAGGCAGAGACACAGGCGCUGCCUCUAUUUUUCCGAUGCGACCCAACACUGCAAUGGUUGUAGGGCAGAAGUCUUUCACAUACCAUAUCGGCCACAAAAGAAGUAGAUCGACGGUAAAGACUUGUAUUCAACCUGCUAGACUAUACCAUUGACCAUGAUCUACGAGACUAGCGGCUUCUCUAAGAUGAUGUACAUCGCCAUCCAGGUAAAUUGCCCCUUCGACCUAGUGUCUGUCAUAAAAUCAAGCUUCACCACCUUACCAACCAAAUUUUUGAUUUCCUCCAAAAUUUGUCUCUUAUGUAAGAACCUUGACAAACUAGGUAAUUUGAUCCAAGCCAUAAUAACGCUUAGAAAUGGCUAUAAUGGGUUAAAAUCCAAAGUCCACGGCUGAACCGUAAUAAACUUUCUAAAAAUAACCCACAGACCCUAGGUAAGUACCAGCUUGUAAUCCUUCAUGGUUAAAAAUUUUACCAGAAAGUAAUCAUUCUUAACAUCCAUAGGUUGGAAUGGUUGAGAGGGCCUUCAUAAGCUAAAAACCCUAUUGUGGAGAAUGGCAUAUCGUAUGUUCUGCCCUAAUAGUUUCACCACCACAAUGGUCACCAUAUCCUUCACCAGAAUUUGUUGCUAUAGAAACUAAAAUGGAAAUAAGAAAAAAAUAUUAUUACUUAUAUUUUUACAAUAAUGAUAUAACACCUAUAUAUAGGUAAUAACAACCCAACAAGAGUAAAUUAACCGUUUCCUAUUCUAUACAAGUUGAUUAUUGUAUAAUUACAAUAAUCUUACAGCUAGCCUAUCUUAAAUUAAUCUACUUUCUUUUUCAACACUCUCCCUCAAGCUGGUUUUAAAAUAUCUUUCAUUGCCAGCUUGGCAAUUAAGUGAUCAAAUUACUUCUUGUGCAGUCCUUUUGAAAGUAUGUCUGUAAUCAAUUUAGGGUUAUGAUCAAUUGCAAUUGCAGCCUUGUUAUCGCAGUAGACUUUUAUGGGCAAAGAACAUGAAAGUCUUAAAUCUUUCAAUCCACAGAACUUCACAAAUACCAUGGGCAACUACUCUAAAUUCAGCUUCGACACUACUUUUAGCUAUCAUAUUUUACUUUUUACUUUUCCAAGUGAUUAAAUUUCCUCUAACGAAAGUACAAUAAGCUGAUGUAGACUUUAAAUCAAUAGUGCUUCCAUCCGAAUCUGCAUCAGUGUAGACUUAGACCAGCAAAUGUUAAUGCCUUUUAAGCAACAACCCCUUACCAAGAGUCCCCUUUAGAUAUAUUAGAAUUCCGUAUACAACUUCAAAAUGAUCCUUUCUUGAUGAAUGCAUAAACUGACUUACUUUACUUACAACAAGUGUAAUAUCUAGACGCGUAUGGGAUAAGUAAAGUAACCUACCAACUAGUCUUUGAAACUUGUAAACAUUCACUACAUUUUCACCUUCAGCAUGCUCCAAUUUCAGGUUGGGUUCAAAUGGGGUGUCAACCGCUUUACAUCCAAGCAAACCUAUCUUUUCAAAAAAUUUUAGAAUAUAUUUUCUUUGAGAAACUGUAAUGCCCUGAAUAAUUUAAUCUUGUUUUUAUGAAUCAUGACAAAAUGUGUAUCUGUUUCGGUGGUUAAGUGUUCUGGGUGUGCGUGUGUGAGGUCUGGGGUUCAAGUCUCAUUUGUGGCAAAUUUUGUUAUUUUUUAUCUAAGGCUUAUCCUUGUUGGGUGAGCUUAUAUAAUAUUGGUUGUAAACUCUUAUCAGAAUGAGCCUGCUAGUUCGAGUCGUAAGGAGUUAGCUUGCUAAGGUAUUGUGUUCAAGUCCCUACGUGAGCGUGGGUGAUAUUUUUACUUCGAUUGGUUGAGAGAGUUUAGAUGAAUUGGAAGUCUGAGUGAGUGGUUAGUUACGAUUGGGUUGGUGAGAGGUCAUGCCUAAAUUUGAGGGAUACGUGAUAUUAUUUUGAUAUUAUUUUAUUUUUUUCAAAAUUUGUUCUCUCUCUUCCAAAAAAAAAACUGACGUCAGUUUGUUCUCCCCUUUCUCUGCACUUUUAUUUUUUUCUUUCUUUUUGCUACCUUCUCAUUUUUCAUUUAAAAACUAUCGUCAAUCUCUGCGUUUUGGUUUUGUGAUCCCUGCUCGAAUUGUGUUUGGUAAGUAUUCUUGAAUAUUUUUGCGAUUGUAGGUCAUUUUCGGUUGCAUUAAUGUUGUGUAUUCUGCUAUUAGGUGCUAAUCAAGGGUGUCGAAAUUCAUCGUCCAUCGUGUAGAGUGUUAGGGAUGUCGUAACUAUUCUGGUAAGUGAUCGAACUUUUGGUUUGUGUACUACGUUCAAGUAUGUCAAUUGGGGUUUUGAUAAUUGGUGUUUCGGUACUUAAAUUUAAUCGUUAGAAUGCUAUUUUUAGGUUCUGGUUGGCUCGGGAUCGCAAUAGCAUCAAAAAUAAACCUGGUGUGUACCUAAAACACGAGAAAAUAAAGUUUAAAAAAGCUAAAAAUUAGGUCUGUCGAUGCCACACGGGCGUGUGGCCGGUCGUGUGGUUGGCCGUGUGCGACACACGAUAGUGUGACUGUCGAGGGUGUGGCCGUGUGCAAGAGACGACAAUAUGACGACGAUUGUGUGGCCAUGUGGGCCACACGGCUAGGCCGGAUUGGGCGUGUCAACUUUAAGCCAAGUCAUGUUGGCCACAUUGGUAAGGACAAUUUAAACGUGUAGGCCACGCGGAUGUGUGGGUCCACACGGGUAAGCCACAUUGGCAUGUGGGCCUAAAACUCUGAAAUUCUCCUUAGGCUCACACGGGUUAUUCUGGUUAACUAUGGGCCUACCAUAGGGUCGCUAAGCGCUAAAUAAACCCAUUUGUAUGUAUCUAUUAAUCUGAUAGUCUGAUCUGAAUAGGAAACUGAUAUGUAUGUCUGACUGUUCUGCAUAAGUAUAAUGUUUGUAUACGAGCAUGUUAAUUAUGUGAUUCUGUAUUUGUUAUCUGCAUGUUGUAUCUGUAUUUGGGGUGGGAUUUGUAUAUGUGGAGGAAGUAAUCUGUACAGCAACCUUUCGCCUAAUUUCUAGCAACUUGACUGAACUUUAUUCUGUUAUGUGUCGCAUCGACACUAUCUGGUAUGUAGGGAUGGGUGAGUGUUUUUAACCCCAUAUGGUGUAAUGGGAUGGUCGGAGAUGGUGUGUAAAGGAUAUGGGUAGGAUUCUGUAUAUCUGUUCUGUUUAUCUGAUUCUGAUAUUUGUAUCUAUUAAGGACUUAAGUCCAAACCCGUAUCUAUCUACAUAUGAGAUUCUGUGUAUGUUGCAUGACUAUCUCUGUUGGGUUACACACUGAGUUUAGAAAACUUACAUCUGUUUUUCUGUUCUGUUCAGGUAAUCCUCAAACAUAGGCGGGUCAGUGCGACGGAGGCUCAACAGUGACCACUUGUCAGAAAACUAUUAUUUUUUCCUAUCCUUAUUUACCGAUUUUACUUAAUUUCUGGUUUUCGAGAGAGUUUUAUAAUUUUUGGACUCUCCAGACUUUUGAGACUAUUCAUUUUGGAUUUUUGGUUUGGUUACCUUUAUGAUUUUUAAG
rnacentral:lncRNA from 1 species